AGGUCCAGUCCACCAGCUUCACUGAAGCCAGUGCAAGUGACGUGGAAAGGAUGGAAUCAGCAAGCGAUGCGGGUGAAUGUUUCAGCCUACAACAAUCCAUGUCAUCAGCGGGUCCGGAAAAUGUGCUAGUGCUGGAUGGACUGCCCCUUGAACCAUUUGUGCCCUACCAGAUAGUCAGCCAAUAUGGG